CCUACGGGAGGCAGCAGUAGGGAAUAUUGCUCAAUGGGGGAAACCCUGAAGCAGCAACGCCGCGUGGAGGAUGAAGGUUUUCGGAUCGUAAACUCCUUUUGUUAGAGAAGAUAAUGACGGUAUCUAACGAAUAAGCACCGGCUAACUCCGUGCCAGCAGCCGCGGUAAUACGGAGGGUGCAAGCGUUAGUCGGAAGCACUGGGCGUAAAGCGCGCGUAGGCGGGAUAGCAAGUCAGAUGUGAAAUCCUAGGGCUUAACCAUAGAACUGCAUUUGAAACUGUUAAUCUGGAGUAUGUGAGAGGUAGGUGGAAUUCUUGGUGUAGGAGUAAAAUCCGUAGAGAUCAAGAGGAAUACUCAUUGCGAAGGCGACCUGCUAGAACAUAACUGACGCUGAUGCGCGAAAGCGUGGGGAGCAAACAGGAUUAGAUACCCCUGUAGUC
rnacentral:rRNA from 1 species